rnacentral:rRNA from 1 species
CAGUAGCCGCGGGAACACGGAGGGUGCAAGCGUUAUCCGGAUUCACUGGGUUUAAAGGGUGCGUAGGCGGGCAGGUAAGUCAGUGGUGAAAUCUUCGAGCUUAACUCGGAAACUGCCGUUGAUACUAUCUGUCUUGAAUAACGUUGUGGUGAGCGGAAUAUGUCAUGUAGCGGUGAGAUGCUUAGAUAUGACAUAGAACACCGAUUGCGAAGGCAGCUCACUAAACGCUCAUUGACGCUGAGGCACGAAAGCGUGGGGAUCAAACAGGAUUAGAUACCCCCGUAGUCCCUGUCUCUUAUAC